CUCUGGUGGCUCAGAUGGUAAAGGAUCUGCCUUCAGUGCAGGAGAUCUGGGUUCGAUCCCCGGAUCAGGAA
rnacentral:tRNA from 1 species